rnacentral:rRNA from 1 species
AUAACGACUCUCGGCAACGGAUAUCUCGGCUCUCGCAUCGAUGAAGAACGUAGCGAAAUGCNAUACUUGGUGUGAAUUGCAGAAUCCCGUGAACCAUCGAGUCUUUGAACGCAAGUUGCGCCCUAAGCCAUUUGGCCGAGGGCACGUCUGCCUGGGCGUCAAUCA